GGGGAAUUUUACGCAAUGGGCGAAAGCCUGACGUAGCGACACCGCGUGAGCGAAGAAGUCCUUUGGGGUGUAAAGCUCUGUCAGCAGGGACGAAAUAAAUGACGGUACCUGCAGAGGAAGCAUCGGCUAACUACGUGCCAGCAGCCGCGGUAAGACGUAGGAUGCAAGCGUUGUCCGGAUUCAUUGGGCGUAAAGAGUUCGUAGGCGGUUUGUUAAGUCUGAUGUUAAAUAUUAGGGCCCAACCCUGAAACUGCAUUGGAUACUGGCAGACUGGAGUGCAGUAGAGGCAAGUGGAAUUCCCAGUGUAGCGGUGAAAUGCGUAGAUAUUGGGAAGAACACCGGUGGCGCAGGCGACUUGCUGGGCUGUAACUGACGCUGAGGAACGAAAGCUAGGGGAGCAAAUG
rnacentral:rRNA from 1 species